GCACAAGCGGUGGAGCAUGUGGUUCAAUUCGACGCAACGCGAAGAACCUUACCCAGGCUCGAACGGCUGAUGACAUCCGGCGAAAGUCGGCUCCCGCAAGGGCAUCUGUCGAGGUGCUGCGUGGCUGUCGUCAGCUCGUGUCGUGAGAUGUUGGGUUAAGUCCCGCAACGAGCGCAACCCUUGUCUUCUGUUGCCAUCAGGUCAAGCUGGGCACUCUGAAGAGACUGCCGGUGACAAACCGGAGGAAGGUGGGGAUGACGUCAAGUCAGCAUGGCCUUUAUGUCUGGGGCCACACACGUGCUACAAUGGCCGGUACAAACCGUUGCAAACUCGCGAGGGUGAGCUAAUCGGAGAAAGCCGGUCUCAGUUCGGAUUGUAGGCUGCAACUCGCCUGCAUGAAGUUGGAAUCGCUAGUAAUCGCGGAUCAGCACGCCGCGGUGAAUACGUUCCCGGGC
rnacentral:rRNA from 1 species